UUAAUAAUUUAUUUACUGUGUUGUUCCCCAAAAUAUGACAAACCCAGUAAAUAAAUUAAUAAGCAGGUUAAUAAUCAUCACACAAAGUCCAGAUUAAAGGAGUUUUUAUUCUUCCUCAUUAUCUUCCUCUUCCUCCUGUCUUCAUCUGCACAUUCUGAGGAGCAGAAUGAAUAAUGAUCACUCAUUUGCCAGAUUCUUUCUCUGCCCGCAGCAACGUCCAAAAUUAGCACACGUGCACGGGGACGUGUGCACACGCCCACACAAGCCUGCGCAUGCGCGCUCUGAGAUGAGAUUAAAGAAAGCAACUCGUCCUUAUGUUUAGGCGUCUGUAUGAUUUGUGUCUGAGAUUUWAAAAAAAACAACAAGAAGUAUACAUUUGUUCAUAACAAAUCAAUCAGAAAUGUUCUUGUACAGGUUUGUGCAGCAGCGCCCUCUGCUGGAUACACAGUGUAAAUAUGGAUUUCUUCCUUGUGUUCUGAUCCCUGCAGGGGUCGGGCUUGUUUUUAAAAACACGUCCUGCCAAAAUAAAAGCACCCCUGUUCUCUCUGCCUCCAGUCAUGUUCAAAAAUAAAAUACCCUAACAAUCCCAGGAGCGUUUAUCUAUCAGACCAGUUUCUGCUUCACUGAUAAAACCUGAGAGAGAG